GAUGAACGCUGGCGGCGUGCCUAAUACAUGCAAGUCGAGCGAACGGACGCGAAUCUUGCGUCACUGAAGUUAGCAGCGGACGGGUGAGUAACACGUGGUUAACCCACCUAUAAGGCUGGGGCAACUGCGGGAAACCGUAGCUAAUGCCGGGUAAUAUUUUUAACCUCAUGGUUCAAAAGUUAAUGACGGUCUUGCUGUCCUUUAUAGAUGUAUCCGCGCUGCAUUAGCUAGUUGGUAAGGUAACGGCUUACCAAGGCGACGAUGGCUAGCCGACCUGCGAGGGGGAUCGGCCACACUGGAAGUGGGACACGGUCCAGAGACCGAGGGGCGGCAGAAGUAGGGACGGGUCGGCGAUGGGCGAAAGCCUGCAGGAUCGGCGCAACGUGAGUGCUGAAGGUCUUCGGAUCGUAAGACUGCGUUAUUGGUGAAAAACACAUGUGCAAGGAACUGUGCACUUCGUGACGGUACCUAAUCAGAAAGCAACGGCUAACUACGUG
rnacentral:rRNA from 1 species